GACGUAGGGCGCGAGCGUUGUCCGGGUUUAUUGGGCGUAAAGAGCUCGUAGGCGGCUUGUCGCGUCGACCGUGAAAACUUGGGGCUCAACCCCAAGCCUGCGGUCGAUACGGGCAGGCUCGAGUUCGGUAGGGGAGACUGGAAUUCCUGGUGUAGCGGUGAAAUGCGCAGAUAUCAGGAGGAACACCGGUGGCGAAGGCGGGUCUCUGGGCAACAACUGACGCUGAGGAGCGAAAGCGUGGGGAGCGAACAGG
rnacentral:rRNA from 1 species